UACGGAGGAUGCGAGCGUUAUCCGGAUUUAUUGGGUUUAAAGGGUGCGUAGGCGGACUGUCAAGUCAGCGGUAAAAUUGAGAGGCUCAACCUCUUCCCGCCGUUGAAACUGGUGGUCUUGAGUGGAUGAGAAGUACGCGGAAUGCGUGGUGUAGCGGUGAAUGCAUAGAUAUCACGCAGAACUCCGAUUGCGAAGGCAGCGUACCGGCAUCCAACUGACGCUGAGGCACGAAAGCGUGGGGAUCAAACAGG
rnacentral:rRNA from 1 species